rnacentral:rRNA from 1 species
AAAUUGAAGAGUUUGAUCAUGGCUCAGAUUGAACGCUGGCGGCAGGCCUAACACAUGCAAGUCGAGCGGCAGCGGGAAAGUAGCUUGCUACUUUUGCCGGCGAGCGGCGGACGGGUGAGUAAUGCCUGGGGAUCUGCCCAGUCGAGGGGGAUAACAGUUGGAAACGACUGCUAAUACCGCAUACGCCCUACGGGGGAAGGGAGGGGGACCUUCGGGCCUUUCGCGAUUGGAUGAACCCAGGUGGGAUUAGCUAGUUGGUGGGGUAAUGGCUCACCAAGGCGACGAUCCCUAGCUGGUCUGAGAGGAUGAUCAGCCACACUGGAACUGAGACACGGUCCAGACUCCUACGGGAGGCAGCAGUGGGGAAUAUUGCACAAUGGGGGAAAC